CAGCAGCCGCGGUAAUACAGAGGGUGCGAGCGUUAAUCGGAUUUACUGGGCGUAAAGCGUGCGUAGGCGGCUUUUUAAGUCGGAUGUGAAAUCCCUGAGCUUAACUUAGGAAUUGCAUUCGAUACUGGGAAGCUAGAGUAUGGGAGAGGAUGGUAGAAUUCCAGGUGUAGCGGUGAAAUGCGUAGAGAUCUGGAGGAAUACCGAUGGCGAAGGCAGCCAUCUGGCCUAAUACUGACGCUGAGGUACGAAAGCAUGGGGAGCAAACAGGAUUAGAGACCCCCGUAGUCCCUGUCUCUUAUAC
rnacentral:rRNA from 1 species